ACUUUUUUUAAGUCUUAGUGGCGGACGGGUGAGUAACGCGUGGAUAACCUGCCUAAUAGCUGGGGACAACACCGGGAAACUGGUGCUAAUACCCGAUACGCUCUCUUAAACACAUGUUUGGGAGAGGAAAGGAGCAAUCCGCUAAUAGAUGGGUCCGCGUCCCAUUAGCUAGUUGGAGGUGUAAGGGACCCCCAAGGCGACGAUGGGUAGCCGGCCUGAGAGGGUGGACGGCCACACUGGAACUGAGACACGGUCCAGACUCCUACGGGAGGCAGCAGUGGGGAAUCUUCCGCAAUGGGCGAAAGCCUGACGGAGCAACGCCGCGUGAAUGAUGAAGGCCUUCGGGUCGUAAAAUUCUGUCUUCAGGGAAGAAACAAAUGACGGUACCUGAGGAGGAAGCCCCGGCUAACUACGUGCCAGCAGCCGCGGUAAUACGUAGAGGGCAAGCGUUGUCCGGAUUUACUGGGUGUAAAGGGCGCGUAGGCUGAUUUGUAAGUCAGUGGUGAAAUCCUGCGGCUUAACUGCAGAACUGCCAUUGAUACUGCAAAUCUUGAGUUCGGAAGAGAGAAGCGGAAUUCCAGGUGUAGUGGUGAAAUACGUAGAUAUCUGGAAGAACACCAGUGGCGAAGGCGGCUUCUUGGUCCGUAACUGACGCU
rnacentral:rRNA from 1 species